GGGUGCGUAGGCGGCUUAUUAAGUCAGGGGUGAAAGACGGUGGCUCAACCAUCGCAGUGCCUUUGAUACUGAUGAGCUUGAAUGAACUAGAGGUAGGCGGAAUGUGACAAGUAGCGGUGAAAUGCAUAGAUAUGUCACAGAACACCGAUUGCGAAGGCAGCUUACUAUGGUUUUAUUGACGCUGAGGCACGAAAGCGUGGGGAUCAAACAGGAUUAGAUACCCUGGUAGUCCACGCCCUAAACGAUGAAUACUCGCUGUUAGCGAUAUACAGUUAGCGGCUAAGCGAAAGCGUUAAGUAUUCCACCUGGGGAGUACGCCCGCAAGGGUGAAACUCAAAGGAAUUGACGGGGGCCCGCACAAGCGGAGGAGCAUGUGGUUUAAUUCGAUGAUACGCGAGGAACCUUACCCGGGCUUGAAAGUUAGUGAAUGAUCUAGAGAUAGAUCAGUGAGCAAUCACACGAAACUAGGUGCUGCAUGGCUGUCGUCAGCUCGUGCCGUGAGGUGUUGGGUUAAGUCCCGCAACGAGCGCAACCCCUAUGUUUAGUUGCCAGCACGUUAAGGUGGGGACUCUAAACAGACUGCCUGUGCAAACAGAGAGGAAGGAGGGGACGACGUCAAGUCAUCAUGGCCCUUACGUCCGGGGCUACACACGUGCUACAAUGGAUGGUACAGAGGGCAGCAAGCUGGCAACAGCAAGCAAAUCUCAAAAAGCCAUUCACAGUUCGGAUAGAGGUCUGCAACUCGACCUCUUGAAGUUGGAUUCGCUAGUAAUCGCGUAUCAGCAAUGACGCGGUGAAUACGUUCCCGGGCCUUGUACACACCGCCCGUCAAGCCAUGGAAGUUGGGGGUACCUAAAGUAUGUAACCGCAAGGAGC
rnacentral:rRNA from 1 species